CAGAGCUCCUUUGGAACAAAACUAGAGAAUGAUAAAAUUCUGUCUGCCAGCAACUACCACCUGGGGAAGUUUAGAAAAGAUUAAACACAACAAUAAACCAGCAUGGACAGUGCCCUUCUAAUAAUCACAGACAAGAGUGAAGUGAAAGCUGGCACGAGUGUAUAGAUAACAGAGGGAAUGUCAAUUUUCCCAUUGCCUGUGAGACAACUUGUAAUAUUCUUCAGGAGAGAUCUCUGCUUUCAAUCUGUGAUAAGGAAAACGUGUAAAAAUCCUCUGCAGCCAUAUGUUCUCCG